AACGCGAAGAACCUUACCCAGGCUCGAAAUGCAGAUGACGAUACUAGAGAUAGUAUUUUCCGCAAGGACAUCUGUAUAGGUGCUGCAUGGCUGUCGUCAGCUCGUGCCGUGAGGUGUUGGGUUAAGUCCCGCAACGAGCGCAACCCUUAUCAUUAGUUGCCAACACGUAAGGUGGGGACUCUAAUGAGACUGCCUAGGUUAACUAGGAGGAAGGUGAGGAUGACGUCAAGUCCGCAUGGCCUUUAUGUCUGGGGCUACACACGUGCUACAAUGGUCGGUACAGAAGGCAGCAAGACCGCAAGGUGGAGCAAAUCCGUAAAGCCGACCUCAGUUCAGAUUGUAGUCUGCAACUCGACUACAUGAAGCCGGAAUUGCUAGUAAUGACGAGUCAGCAACAUCGUCGUGAAUACGUUCCCGGGCCUUGUACACACCGGCUA
rnacentral:rRNA from 1 species